CCUACGGGUGGCAGCAGUGGGGAAUAUUGCACAAUGGGCGAAACUCUGAUGCAGCGACGCCGCGUGAGUGAAGAAGUAUUUAGGUAUGUAAAGCUCUAUCUGCAGGGGAGAAAAUGACGGUACCUGAUUAAGAAGCCACGGCUAACUUCGUGCCAGCAGCCGCGGUAAUACGUAGGGGGCCAGCGUUAUCCGGAUUUACUGGGUGUAAAGGGGGUGUAGACGGCAGCACAAGUCUGUAGUGAAAGGCCGAGGCUUAACACCGGAACUGCUUUGGAUACUGUGCAGCUAGAGUGCAGUUGAGGUAGGUGGAAUGCGUGGUGUAGCGGUGAAAUGCGUAGAUAUUAGGAGGAACACCAGUGGCGAAGGCGGCUUACUGGGCUAUAACUGACGUUGAGGCUCGAAAGCGUGGGGAGCAAACAGGAUUAGAUACCCCUGUAGUC
rnacentral:rRNA from 1 species